AGUGACGGUUAUUCCUCCUGCGCGGGAGCUUUGGGGACGCACUUCUGGAUGCCUAGGCCUCUUCCGUUUGCCUCUGGGACUGGCGAUACUCGAGAUGUCUUGAGGCCUUCCAGACCUUGCUCCACCUCCACCACCAGGUCUCCAGUCCUGAGCCACAUGCUGCCAUUUUUGUCUCAGAAGCACCCCUCUUCCAGGUGGAAGAUUGAAGGUCUGAAGAGUGGGAAGUCCCAGGAACAGGCAAUUCCAGGAAGAUAUGAGGAAAAUCAAGAAAGAGAAGGAAACUGAAGCUAGUGGGAAGUGCUUCAAGUUGGAGAUGAUGCUGAGAUGGCCAAAAAGUGAGAGGUGGAAAACAUUUGGAUUUUCAAACCUGAGUGAAUGAAUGAAUAAACGGACCUGGGAAUUGAUCAACAAUGGCUGCUGCAUCGCGUAAAGAGAGACGACCAGGUGUCAGCUGGCUGUCAACUGAUCUAGGAUGGUCUUGGAGGGACAACGAGGGCAACCCCAUGUCUCUUCUUUAGCAGGCCAGCCCAGACAUGCUUUCAUGGCUGAAUAGGAGCCAGCCUGGUCAUGGGAGCAAUUUUCAAGCAAGUCUCUGCUUGAAUGUCACAUUUACUAACAUCCUGUUGGCCAAGGUGCAUCCCAUGGCUGAGCCCAGUGUCCAAGUGAAAGGGCACCAGGAAGUUCCCUGCAGCGCUGUGGGUACUGGAAGAAUGGGCGCCAUCUUCAUGACAGCAGCAUGCUAAGUUACAGAAAGUGAGCGGCGUUCUAGACAAAGCAAGCUCAUCUGUGAAUGGAUCAUGGCGGAAACCUGACCACAGUAUGUUGGGAUUUAUGUGUUUGACAUUUUCUAUAAUAGAAAGGCAGAUCAAAAAUAAGGCUCCAGUGCCUCCACUCAGGAAAGCUCAAGUAGGUUUUCUUGAGAAUUUUUAGUGGAUACCCUGUUUUGCAAUGUUCUUUUCUUUUUCUAAUGAGGCUGAACCAGAUUGUAAUGCCAUGAGGCUUCUACAUGGAGAGCUGGACGUUGGUGAGGAUUGGGUGGAGAAGGCCGGGUGGAGGCUGGGCCUGGGAGAAGAGCAGCAGAUUCCCAAACGUACUGGUAUUGGUGCAUACUCUGAGAAAGACAUCUCAGAGCACUUCUGCCGUCAGUUACGAAGUUUCAAUAUAAGAAUUCUUUCUACACAUGCCUGCCUGUCUUUUCUUGUGACGCUUUGACAGAAGAAUUGUUUUCCUUAUGUGUCACAUACUAUACGGUUAGACACUAACACAUGUUUGUUUGAGCAUAUGACAAUUUCAACCUGACAAGCUUGAGGCUUUCCUUCUCCUCUCUCUCUUUCUUUCCUUCCUUCCUUUCAUGCACUUAUUUUAGAAAUAUGUAUGAAACUUCUCUUAGAGGCAGGCUCUGUGCUAGGUACUCGCGAUAAAAGGGUAAACUGAAAAACAGAUCUAAUUGAGUCUAGAACUUGUUAUUUCAAGCUGAAAUUCAUAAUGCAUGCAAAAACUCUAUGACAGCUUAGGUCCACCAGGACACUCUUUUUAUGAUAUUUAACAACAGAAAUUCAGUGCAAAGUCUUCU
rnacentral:lncRNA from 1 species